AGCUUUGCGCAGUAGCAGUAUCGUAGCCAAUGAGGUUUAUCUGAGGUGCGAUUAUUGCUAUUUGAAAACUUUUCCCAGGCUAU
rnacentral:snRNA from 14 species